rnacentral:rRNA from 1 species
AUGCAUUCUGACCAUGAAUCUUUAAAACAUCUAAAGGGCCAACUAAAACUGAACUGUAGACAUGCAAAAUGGAGUGAGUUCAUAGAGUCUUUUCCUUAUAUUGUCAAGUACAAGAAAGGGAAGGAUAAUGUUGUUGCUGAUGCAUUGUCUAGGCGUCACAUUUUACUUUCCCAACUUGAUGUUAAAAUCCUUGGUUUCGAAAGCAUCAAAGAAUUGUAUGCUAACGACUCAUACUUCUCUAUACCAUUUUCAAAGUGCAACAAGGGAAAGGGAUGGGAGAAGUUUCACCUGCAUGAUGGAUUUCUAUUUCGAGCUAACAAAUUGUGCAUCCCAGAUUGUUCUGUUCGUUUGUUGCUCUUGCAGGAGGCUCACGCUGGUGGCCUCAUGGGACAUUUUGGAGCCAAGAAAACUGAGAGUGUGCUCGUUGAUCACUUCUUUUGGCCGCGCAUGAGACGUGAUGUGGAACGCUACGUGAUGAGAUGCGAGAUUUGUCACAAAGCUAAGUCCCGCUUGAAUCCUCAUGGUUUAUAUACCCCUCUAUCUAUUCUGAAUACUCUGUGGGAAGAUAUUUCUAUGGAUUUCAUUCUUGGUUUACCAUGGAAUAAGAGGGGGAGCGACUCGGUGUUUGUGGUAGUUGAUCGUUUUAGAAAAAUGGCACAUUUUAUCCCUUGUCAUAAGAGCGAUGAUGCUUCACACAUUGCUGAUAUAUUUUUCAAGGAAGUUGUGCGGCUACAUGGAAUACCACGCACGAUUGUGUCAGACCGUGACACCGAAUUUCUGAGCUACUUUUGGAAGACCUUGUGGGGAAAACUUGGCACCAAGCUCCUAUUUUCCAUGACAUGCCACCCACAAACCGAUGGACAGACUGAAGUUGUCAACCGAACGUUGUCCAUGCUGCUACGACCAGUCCUCAAGAAGAAUUUGAAGAUGUGGGAAGAGUGCCUACCUCAUGUGGAGUUCACGUAUAACAGGGAGGAAUGA